UACGUAGGGUGCAAGCGUUGUCCGGAAUUAUUGGGCGUAAAGAGCUCGUAGGCGGUUUGUCGCGUCGGAUGUGAAAACCCAGGGCUCAACCCUGGGCCUGCAUUCGAUACGGGCAGACUAGAGUAUGGCAGGGGAGACUGGAAUUCCUGGUGUAGCGGUGAAAUGCGCAGAUAUCAGGAGGAACACCGGUGGCGAAGGCGGGUCUCUGGGCCAAAACUGACGCUGAGGAGCGAAAGCGUGGGGAGCGAACAGG
rnacentral:rRNA from 1 species